UACGUAGGCAGCGAGCGUUGUUCGGAAUUACUGGGCGUAAAGAGUGUGUAGGCGGUGCUCUAAGUUCGGUGUGAAAUCUCCUGGCUUAACUGGGAGGGUGCGCCGGAAACUGGAGUGCUCGAGCGUGGGAGAGGAAAGCGGAAUUCCUGGUGUAGCGGUGAAAUGCGUAGAUAUCAGGAGGAACACCUGCGGUGUAGACGGCUUUCUGGACCAUAGCUGACGCUGAGACACGAAAGCGUGGGUAGCAAACAGG
rnacentral:rRNA from 1 species